rnacentral:rRNA from 1 species
AUUGAACGCUGGCGGCAGGCCUAACACAUGCAAGUCGAGCGAGAGGCGGACGGGUUAGUAAUGUAUGGGGAUCUGCCCGAGGGAGGGGGGUAACUACUGGAAACUGUGGCUAAUACCGCAUACUAUCGGAUGAACCGAUAUGGGAUUAUCUAGGAUGUGGGGUAAAGGAUCACCUAGGCGCCGCACUCUAGUUGGUCUGAGAGGAUGAACAGCCACACUGGAACUGAGACACGGUCCAGACUCCUACGGGAGGCAGCAGUGGGGAAUAGUGGACAAGGGGCGCAAGCCUGAUGCAGCCAGGCCGCGUGUAUGAAGAAGGCCUUAGGGUUGUAAAGUACUUUCAGCGGGGAGGCGUUACCCGCAGAAGAAGCACCGGCUAACUCCGUGCCAGCAGCCGCGGUAAUAC